rnacentral:lncRNA from 1 species
GAGUCGUUCUGGAAGGGGCAGGGAAAUGAUGGCAUCUGGGUGUGGCUCAGUUGUCAUCAAGACCCCGACUCCCGGUUCUGGAGAACGGCUGCUCCCCAGGCCCCAUGUGCCGGUGUGGCCUUGGGUUGGACAGAAUUUGGGGCUCGCAGAGUUGGCUGUUCCCCUCACGGUGCCCAGGUGACCUCACGGUGCCCAGGUGACCUCCAGCCGACUCACACCAGGCGGCGUCCUCAGAUCAGGAGCUGCCUCGAGGCUCCGCGAGGCCUCAGGGGGGCCCUGGGCCUGAGUGUGAGGUCCCCCCACCGGUCGUGGUUAUGUAUCUGGGGAUCAAAAUGCCCCCCGGCCGGCCACCAUUUCUUGGGGACCUUAGGGUCAGUCCGAUGCCAACACCGGGUCACAGUCAACUUACCUACUGGGACCUCAAAGAAGAAUUCUGCCUUUUCAUCCACAAGUGGCCGUCACCUGUCACCCCCACGGCACGGCCAGGAAAAUGCCUUCUCUGGGACAACUGGUUUCCCGUCGCCACACGUUGCUCAACUCUUUAUGACCGUGGCCUCGCAGCCUCCCGGGCUUGGCCUCCGAGCUUGGCCUCCGUCCGCACAGAGGGAGCCUGGCAGAGGGAGCCUGGCGUGGCCUUCCCCGAGGCCUGCUCAGGGGUGACCGGAGGGACACAAGGAAUUGGAAAGGAUCCAGCGAGGGCCGGGAGUGGGUUCAG